AUUGAACGCUGGCGGCAGGCCUAACACAUGCAAGUCGAACGGUAGCACAGAGAGCUUGCUCUCGGGUGACGAGUGGCGGACGGGUGAGUAACGUCUGGGAAACUGCCCGAUGGAGGGGGAUAACUACUGGAAACGGUAGCUAAUACCGCAUAACGUCGCAAGACCAAAGUGGGGGACCUUCGGGCCUCACACCAUCGGAUGUGCCCAGAUGGGAUUAGCUAGUAGGUGGGGUAAUGGCUCACCUAGGCGACGAUCCCUAGCUGGUCUGAGAGGAUGACCAGCCACACGGGAACUGAGACACGGUCCAGACUCCUACGGGAGGCAGCAGUGGGGAAUAUUGCACAAUGGGCGCAAGCCUGAUGCAGCCAUGCCGCGUGUAUGAAGAAGGCCUUCGGGUUGUAAAGUACUUUCAGCGGGGAGGAAGGCGGUGGAGUUAAUAACUUCACCGAUUGACGUUACCCGCAGAAGAAGCACCGGCUAACUCCGUGCCAGCCGCCGCCGUAACAC
rnacentral:rRNA from 1 species